rnacentral:lncRNA from 10 species
CAAAGAGCUGAGAGAAAGCUUACAAUCUGCCCAAACCCCUCUUUACACACAGGAAGGAAAUAAGCUCAGAAAAGAGGAAUAUUUUAUCAAAGGAGUUCACUUGGCUGUAAAAAUGAUGUUGCCGGUCAUAAAGUUUUUCAUUUUCCCAGUGGAGAGAGUCACCUUUUCAACACAUCUGCAGCAGACUCAGAGCAGGGUGGACAGCACAGAUGUUGCCAACAGCUUCAGGUUCCAGAAAGGCCCUGAGAGCCAGAAGACACCGAUGACAAUGGAAUCCACCCAACCAGCAGUUGGUCAUAACUGAUAAAAGGUUAUGUCUUGAUUGAACAAGCUUCCAGGAGUUGGAAGGCCAAAAGGGCUGCUGUAAAACAGCAAUGGAGAUGCUAAUAAAACCCAAGCUCAGCCAAAGAACCAAGAAGGAUGAAGGGAAGCCAUCUUCCUCGCCCCUACACUAGCAAACUCUGUAUUACCUUCUCUGCUGGCUCACUUUGAUGAGGCAAACUGCCACGUUGGAGAGGCCCAUGUGGCAUUGAACUAAGAGCUGCAACUGGCCAUUAGGGAGUGAAUCCCACCAACAGCAAAUGAGCUUGGAAGCCAGUCCUUCUCCAGUGGAGCCUCGAGGUGACUCCCAUCGCAGCCCACACCUUCAGCUAAGCCUCUGAGAAAUCCUGAAGCAGAGGACACAGCUUACCCAUGCCUGGAUCCCAGAUGCACAGAGAUUGAGACAAUCAAUGUGUGUUUUGUUUGAGGGUAAAGAUUUGAGGUAAUUUGUCACAGGACAAGAGACAACUAGUACAAGCACCAAGUGUUAAACAGCUUCUCUCCAUUCAAACUUUUAAGUUUUCUCCAUAUUAAUGUUCACCAGCACUUUUUCAUACUGUCUCUUAGACCUGUGAAUAUUUUUUCAUAUUAUUUUAACAUAUACAUAUAUUUGUUCUAUUAUAAUGUUCUUACAUUUCUUCAUCCUGCUUCUGUUUCUCCUUUAAGUAAAGCUUGGUUGCAAAUUAUCUUUAUUGAUUUUUUAUAAUUGUACAUUUAUUUUAGAUUUAGGGGGUACAUGUACAGAUUUGUUACAUGGGUAUAUUGCAUAAAGCUGAGAUUUGGGGUAUGAAUCCCAUCACCCAGGUACUGAGCGUAUUACCCAAUGGGUAGUUUUUCAGCCCAUGCCUCUCCCUCCCUUCCACGUCUAGUAGUUUCCAGGGUCUAUUAUUCCUAUCUUUGUGUCCAUGUAUACGUAGUGCUUAGCUCCUACUUGUAAGUGAGAAUAUGCAAUAUUCGAUUUUCUGUUCCUGCCUUAAUUUGCUUAGGAUAAUGACCUCCAGCUGCAUCCACGCUGCUGCAGAGGACAUGAUUUCAUUCUUUGUUAUGGGUGUGUAGUAUUCCAUGGUAUAUAUGUACCACAUUUUUAAAAUUAAAUCCACCAUUGAUGGGUAGCUACGUUGAUUUCAUGUCUUUGCUAUUGUGAAUAUUGCUGUGAAAAUCAUCUUAUUUAUAAUCAGCAAGGAACUUAUUCCCUAUCAGUCCUUACACCCAGGACUGGCUCUCCUGCAUAUAUUCAAUAUAUAGCCUUUGCAUUUGAGAUAUGUAUGUAUGUCUUAACUCCUUCUCACUGACAUGAAUGUAAACUAUAUAAAAACAUUAAAUAGACCUAACCAUAAAGUAUAAACAUCUAUGACCCAAAUAGAAUUGUGUGUACUUCACAGUUCUUCAAUGCAUAUUGGGAUUAAGUUUGCAGAUAUAGUACAAGCUCUUCCAAAGAAAAUUCAAAGGAUACUCAAAACUAUCUCACAAAAAAGAA